rnacentral:misc_RNA from 1 species
UCUAAGGAGCCUUUGGCACCCCGGCGCAUCGGCGAUCGUUCGAUGCAGAGGUCGGGAGACUCCAGGUUGAUGACACUGGCGCUCGUCGUUCGUCCUUCGGGGCGGCCGGCGAGCACACGCUGUUCAGCUUUGAGGGUGCGAACCCUCGGGCACCUUGAGAACUCGAUAGCGAGCGCGAGCAUCUAAACAGUCAAGUUAUGAAGGGCUUACGGUGGAUGCCUUGGCGCCAGGAGCCGAUGAAGGACGCGUCUGGCUGCGAAAAGCUGCGGGGAGCUGCCGAGAGAGCUUUGAUCCGCAGGUGUCCG